rnacentral:rRNA from 1 species
AUUGAACGCUGGCGGCAUGCCUUACACAUGCAAGUCGAACGGCAGCACGGGUGCUUGCACCUGGUGGCGAGUGGCGAACGGGUGAGUAAUACAUCGGAACGUACCUUAUCGUGGGGGAUAACGCAGCGAAAGCUGUGCUAAUACCGCAUACGACCUGAGGGGGAAAGCGGGGGACCGAAAGACCUAGAGCGAAAGAGCGGCCGAGGACUGAUUGGCUUGUUGGUGGGGUAAAAGCCCACCAAGGCGACGAUCAGUAACUGGUCUGAGAGGACGAUCAGCCACACUGGGACUGAGACACGGCCCAGACUCCUACGGGAGGCAGCAGUGGGGAAUUUUGGACAAUGGGGGCAACCCUGAUCCAGCAAUGCCGCGUGAGUGAAGAAGGCCUUCGGGUUGUAAAGCUCUUUUGUCAGGGAAGAAACACCGGCUCUAACACAGUCCGGGAAUGACGGUACCUGAAGAAUAAGCACCGGCUAACUACGUGCCAGCAGCCGCGGUAA